GACGUAGGGGACGAGCGUUGUCCGGAUUUAUUGGGCGUAAAGCGCGCGUAGGCGGCUGGGAAAGUCGGAUGUGAAAAUCCGGGGCUCAACCCCGGACCUGCGUCCGAAACUUCCCGGCUAGAGGUAGGUAGGGGAGAUCGGAAUUCCUGGUGUAGCGGUGAAAUGCGCAGAUAUCAGGAGGAACACCGGUGGCGAAGGCGGAUCUCUGGGCCUUACCUGACGCUCAGGCGCGAAAGCUAGGGGAGCGAACAGG
rnacentral:rRNA from 1 species